rnacentral:misc_RNA from 1 species
UGAAUUGUUCCUAAACUUGACAUUCAAGAUUGCUUAAAGCCAUAGUUAUUAAAAGCGGGCCUUAGGCACGCCUUAGGCUCAAGGCAGGCUCGAACCCUAGCACCUUAUGCGCCUAGGUGUGCGUCUUUGUUCUAGGCACAAGGUUCUAGAAAGGCAUACUUUCUUUAUUUCUAUCUUAAGUCAGCACUUUCAUCGACAAAAAUGACA